rnacentral:rRNA from 1 species
AGAAUCAACGCUGGCGGCGUGCCUAACACAUGCAAGUCGCACGAGAAAGUGGAGCAAUCCACGAGUAAAGUGGCGCACGGGUGAGUAACACGUGAAUAAUCUACCUCCGAGUGGGGAAUAACUGAGAGAAAUCUUAGCUAAUACCGCAUAACACUUACGAGUCAAAGCAGCAAUGCGCUUGGAGAGGAGUUCGCGGCCGAUUAGUUAGUUGGCGGGUAAUGGCCCACCAAGACGAUGAUCGGUA